GGGUCAGGCUGCGCUGGGGGGCCUGCUGGGAAGGCUGGAGCUAUUGGAGGAGGCCUCUCAGAGGGGGGCUCAGCUGACCUGUAAGGAUGCGCCAUCCAGUAAAGGUCAAGGCAGAUGGCAAACUGAUUCUCGCCAUCAGGCCUGUGCUGAAAAGCCGCAAACCAUUCCAUCAGGCAUUGUGUCCAGGGGCUGGUGCCGGAAGACACAGAAACCCUUCAUCUAGAAAUUAGGAUCAGGCUUGCUCCAGAAAGAAGCCUGUUUCUGGGGGCAAAUAGGUGGGAAAUGCCACGUGAUCUGUUUUACUUUCCACUCCAAUUUCGGAUUGGAGCACAUGUCCUAGGCUAUCUCCCUGGGGACCUGCUGGCAAGGCCCCACUCAGACGUGGGAGAAACCCACUCACUUAGGUGCAGACACCUGCCAAGGCCCAUCUCAGCACAUCCUGCUGGGGUACCCCUACUGUGUGCGCAGCACAGUCCUGGGAGACGGGCUCAAGUCCACUGAACAGCCCCUUGGGCCCCGCUGGGGCUGUCCUGCGUCUCCAUUACAUUGUGCUUAUGAGACGUGCUGGUUUGCUAAACGUCCAUAUUCUCACGCUUCUGUUCUCACUAUCCUCAGAUAUAAAGUGGGGCCAGAGCACAGCAAAGCAGUUCAGCCCCACCCGCCCAGUACCGAUGGCAGAGCUGUGGGAGUGCCCGGCAGCUGCAGGGGCCCCUCGAUGCAGCCUUCCCUUCUGCCCGCCCAGCGCCCUCCCCUGCCUGUGACUGGGAGAGCGAGGGGCUCGCCCGCAGUCCCACGGCUGCCCUGGCCCAGCUCCCCUUGGGGCCUUGCUUGGGUGAGCUGCCACCCUGCUUGUGUUUAUGAGCCUGGGGCUGCCAGGGGCCCUUAGCCUCCACCCGCAGGGGGCCUGCCUGGAACAAAGUGGAGCUGGAUGUGGGAAAAAACAGUUUCUGAUGACAGAGCUUCAGGUUCUGGACCCGCUCUGAUUGGAGGCCCUCCUGUCUGCCGUGAGCCAGUAAACUCCCCUUCUGAGCUGGGAUGGUCUCCCCACAGCACCACGCCACCUCGGACCCGGAGCUGAGGCCGGCCCUCCCCCGGGGGUCUAGCUCAGGCCUCCUCUCAAGGCAGCGUCCAGCACAGGUGACGAGAUGCUGCUCAAGACACGCAGUGCUGGCCCUCCCGCGCGUGAGUCCGAGAGCAGCUGGGACAGAGGGGCCAAGUACAGAGGCCACGUUCUGCGUGCUCCCACUUACGGAAGCUUCUGGAAAAGAUGGGUCUAACCCCUGGUGGUGGAGAACAGACCAGCGCUGGACUGGAGCCAGGACCCCGGGCUUCAAGGGCUCAGGGGCUGUAAUGCCGCCCAUUGAGGAGGCAGAGCAGGGGUGGCUGGUGACCGUGGGCCCAGGGAAGGGAGCGCAGGAACGCCUCUGUGCGUCCUGGGUGGAGGGGCAUGGGGCCCGCCAAGGAGACCCCACACAAACCUUGGCUUGACCACCUCACUCGGAGCCUCACCUCAGGCCCGCCAUCCGGGGUCCAAGCAGCCUCUCCCCUGCCUGCACCAGCCUGCAGGAGGCCACCACCCCAAACGUGGCAGUGUGGGGAGUCGGUGGGCUGGGGUGGGGCCCGUGGGUGUGGAUAUCUGAGCGUGGGCAUGAGGCGGGUGUGCACACGUGUCCCCAGCCGUGAGCCUGGGGACGUGGGACAGAACCAGACCCGCCGUGGGACCCAGGGAAGCCCACCGGGACUCUUGCUGGCACCUAAGGCUGUUCUCAUUGCCCUGGGAAGUCUUGGGCGGUGGGAGAGGGUCUCCAGAGGUAUGGGAGCCCGGACAAACCAGGCUGAGACUGAACACAAGCACCCCACCUUCCCGGGGGCUGUUAAACAGCAGGGGGGGCCCUCCUGCGCUGGCCCGCCUGCCCCCGCCCCGCACCACCCGCCCCUCUCACGCAGCGGGGCUUGGGGCUGGCUGCUGGGAGAGCAGCUCGGUGUUGUUGGACAGAGGGAGGAAGACUUCCUUUCAGAUGAACAUUUCCUUUUUUUUAGGAAAAUGUAAGGGGCAUUUCAGGGCCACCUUGUAGGAAAGGAAUGUUCAGGCAGGAGCUGGGGCCAGGAUUUCCGUCCAAAAGCCACAGGCCCUCAGCCUCUGAGGCCUGAGACCCCGAGCCCCAACCAGACGUCACUGGUACCACUGGACACAGGCCUGGAAGAUGGGGAGGCUGGGGGUGGGGGCGCCCUCAUCCGCUGUGGGCACCAGGUCCCUGAUUGAGAGGAAACCCCUCCCAAAGUUGCCGGGUCCUUGGCCUCCGUAGGGGCAGGUGGUGCACCCCCAGACCUGACGCGUCAUUUCCUGUCUUCUUCAAGAGCCGCCAAAGCCCCUGAGGUUGCAGCUUCUGCCCAGAGACCUGGAGGCAGAGUUCCCGACACUGCCAGCCCCUGACUCCCGUGCAGGGUCUUGGGGGGCACACGGCCCUCACCAAUAUUCUCCAGCUUUCAGGGCAAAUGUGCCUGAGGACAGGCCUGGCGGGCACACGGGGCAUGAGGCUGGAAUGGGGGCCCCAUCCAAGGGUCCCAAGCCGAGUGUCAGGGACAAGCAGCACCAUGUGGACACGCGGCAGGCACCCUGGCCUGCAAGGCCUGAGGAGGGUGGUGCUCGGGCCAGGGGGCCACAUGAGGCUGCAUGGCUGCAGGGGGCAGGGGAGGCCUGUAUCUUGAGCUCCUGGGGAAGUUGGAAUGUUCUGGGGAUCCAUCAACAUCCCCAACAGGCCUCAGGGGCAAUCACGGUAGGAAACCACUGCGGGAGGGAGCCCGCAGUGGAGGGGCCGGCGCAGCUCAGGGGCCGUGCCCACAGUCAGGGCACAGAGCACACGUCAUCCCGGGACUGACAGCCGAGGGUAAGCAGGGCAGCUCCAGCACAGGGAGGGCCAGGGCUGCCCCUGCAGGGCCCCCGAGCAUGGGGCUCAGGGUCGGCCCCCGCUGCCACCCCGGCCGCUGCGUCAGGUGCCACCAGGAGCAUUCAGACCCUCUCCCAGGGGGAAGUAAAGAUGGAGCCGGAGCUGGGGAAACACAAAGGCUCCUCCCCAGCAUGGGGCCCUGCCCCCCACCUGCCCCUCUGCCCCAGGACCCCAAGGCAAGAUGGUCAGGUGCCCGCACAGCUAAAACUCAGAGACCACGAGCAGGACCACAGAAGUGGCUGACUGAGUGCUCCAUGCUCAGCCCGGCCAAGGGCCCUAGUGGAGGAGGCAGGCUGGGGACACAGCCAAGAUAGAGCGGGGCUGCUGUGUGACUGCGGGCAGGAGCCCCACCCUCCCCGAUCUCCCUGAUGCCCAAGCACUCGGCGGGCAGCCGCACGCAGCCCUGCUGAACACAGACCCUGGACUGUCAUGAGCAGACGGGGGUGUAAGGCAAGAGGAAGUGUGGUUCCCCACCUCGAGCCCUUGACCCUACACCACACCCCGCUUCCUGGGCCCUGGGAGCGGCCUUUGCCUAGCUGGGUGCUGGUUCCCAGUGAACACCUGCUCCGGAGAUGGGGCGUCAGGCCUGAAGCCAUAUGGCGGCCGUGGUGAGGAGCCUCGGCAGCUCCACCCCAAACCUCAUGACCCAGACGUCAGCCAGGACCCAGGAUGGAACCUCUCCGCACUGCAGAGAAGACGCAGCACAUGCCCAGCAGCUUGGGCCUGGGCGCAGGCUCUGCCCUGCCACCAGCCCCUUAUUUUGCACAUCUGCCAGGUGGGCCGGGCCCCUUCGUGCUGCCCCCUGCACAGUGAAGGUGUGGAUGGGCCAUGGGUGGGUGAGGGGUUUCCCUGGGGCCUCCCCUCAUCUGUCCCCCAAACAUCUACUAACCAGCUAAUAACAGCAACAAAACAGA